UAAAUGGGCAUCGCCAAAUGCGCACCGAUUUUUUAAAACCGGUGCGAAAAAAAAAAUAGGCGGGAUUGAGGGAAAGAGUUUUCACACCCGUUCUAACCAAACCAGUGCGAAAAAUUAAUUAAUUGCACCGGUUCUAACAAAACCGGUGCGAAAAGUGAGUAAAUCGCACCGGUUCAGUUCGAAGCGGUGAAAGCUGUUGUAAAAUAAAAGUAAAAAAACCGGUUAUAAUCUUCUUUCUUUCUCUUUCAAUUCCUCGAUCUUUCCUCCUCUCUCAUCUGCCUCUCUCUCUCCUCCAUUGAAACGUACUCGACAGUCUCCAUUGAAGGGGCUUCUGAGCUUUCUCUCAGCACUUUCCUCAACCUCCUUCUCUCUCCUUCGAUCUCCUUCUCCAUAACCGCCACUUUCCCUUUCCUUUCUUCUCUCUUUCGAUCUCCUUCUCCUUCUUCAUAACCAAGCACAACCACCAUCGCCGCCACCGUCAAUGUGAACCAAAUACAACAACAAUAACAAACUUGAAUCAAUUAUCGAUUCAAAAAUCACAAAUUCGAGUGGUGGUGGGUUCUUGGGUGUGGUGGUGUUUUCGUGGGUGCGGUGGUGGUGAUGAGUUAAUUGGAGAGAUUCCCUUGAGGAUGACUUAUCUAGCUCUAGAGGGUAAUGAAUGGAAAAUUAUUACUGGGUAUGAAUCUAAAAAUACUCGGUGAAGUUACCACAAUGGUGGAUCUUGGCCCGGUGAGUUUCCUGAUGCAAAAUAUUCAUCUAUUUAGUGUAUUGGUCACCAUAAUUUACCUUGAAUAAGCUUUAAAAAUAUGAUUAUAUCUUGAUCCUAAACUAGAACAACUUUACUUCAUAUAGCUGAUAAUCAUUUUGACAUGUUAAACUGCUGAUCUGACUACAACUUUGUAUACAACUUGUGAUAAAGUAAAAAGAUAGCACAUAAGUCGUCCACAAGUGAUAAGGUUCAUAUUGAAUUUAGACAAAUAAUUUCUUGGUGUUAAAAAGAAUACCACGAGGACUGUACUGUUGACUGUUGUUCCUCUACAGAUACAAGUAUACAUCAAUAUGGAAAUUUCUAAUAGAUCAUGCUGAUUUUGGGAUCUUUUUAUUUUCAUGCUGCCUGUAAACAACAUACAUUGUUUGUAGUAACUAGUAAGGUGAAGUCCAAUACCCUAAGCAACUCAGAAAAGUUAUGUCCAGAGUUGAGAAUUUCAUUGAUCUUUCUACGUCACCUGUGUAAAGCAUUAAACAUCAUGCCGUGCCAUCACCCCUAUGCCUUUGACAACGAUCCCACUAUAGGUGGUUAACUGCAUGCAUCUACCAAUUGAAUUGCAAAAUGAUGAUUUGUUAGCUUUCACCUGAUAACUAUGGAAGACACUGCUUUUGAUAGACUCUUGAUUUGAAGGUUGUCUCUUGAUUUUAUUUGUGGUAAUCCAAAGUAAAAAAUUGUCCCUUGUAAACUGUUUUACAAUUGCCACAAUAGAUGGGAAUCCUAAGUGCUGAACACAUAGCACAACUAUUUGGUGAAAUUUCUUUAUUUGGUCUCAUUAUGCUAACCCAGGACUAGAUUCAAGUUCAUACAAAGUUUGAAUUACCUUGGGUAGUGUGUGGAGUUAUGUAGAGAUGGUUCAAGCUAGUAUGGAGGCAUAAGGAUGAUUGACUUGGGUUUAAGUAAAUAGGAAGCUAUGUGGUUUCUCUGAUCUGUUGAGGCAUUUUUGGGAUAGAAGAAGCACAUUUGUGUUCGUUGGAAAAGAAUUCGUUUGUGCGGAUUGGAAAGGAAGAUGGGGAACAAAUCCGUGCUUAACUAGACACGCCUGGCUAGUUAGCCUAUUGAGGCAUGUUUGUGUUGCACUGAGAUUGAACCUGGAGUGAUUUUGCUUGUAUCAAUACAUCUGUGUCAUUGUUGAUUAUCAGUAUCUUUCAUAAUAAUUUUUUGCUUAAGCUAUUUAGAAACGUGAACUAUAAAGUGCUUUUUUGGCUAGUCUAAAGUUCUUUGAUACUAUAAUGCAUAGAUGAACUUUGAAUCUUGGUCCUCAUGAGUAUUCAAAAGAAGUUCAAUGGCAUAUCUCUAUUCUAUGCUAGAGAUUCAGAAGAAAUUCAAUGCUAUUUCUCAUGUGGUUUUCCCUCUCUUUUUAUCUCUUAUAGCCCUCUUAGGUAAGUCUUCCUCAAUUUCUAUUUGUAUAUCCUCAUCUUGGGUUUCCACUUUACACCGCUUUCGUUUUCUUGCUCACUAUGUUCCUGUUGUUUUCUUGUCCACUUCCAUUUUAUCACUUCUCUUUGUUUACUUGCUUUAACUUAUUUAUUUACUUUUUGCAGACGGUUCCUUAUGAUGUUUUAUGUUAGCCAGCACUAUGUCAUUUUAGGAUUAAGGCUUUGUUGUUGUGUUAUCUCUAUUCAAUACUACCUUAGGAGUUAAAGUGUGGAACUGAUUAUUGGUGAUUGUUUUUCUUCUUGAUUUUUUUUUAUUCCUAAUCCUGAAGAUCUUGACUAGCUUAUACUGUUGCAUUAUUAACCAUUGUUUGCUAGGCCGGAGGCUGUUCUAGCUAUUGAAAAGAUAUAUGCACGCGGUGUAUCUGAUUAUCUGGUGAGCUGUUUUGCUUCUAUAUGAAGCUUGCUUCAAUGAAUAUUUGGGAGGCUUUCAUAUGAUACUCUCUUUUUUUGGAAGUAGUAAUCACAUCUACUUAAUUAAGGAUGUCUGGAAAAAUGUUGUCACCUAGUGUAAAUUUUUUUUGGUUUAUUCUGGAUUUCUAGGUAUACCCCAAGUUAAUACUGAGUGAUCAUGUGAGUUUGUGAAGGUUCCAAUGUCUAAUCAGGCUCCUUCAAAUCCAUGAUUGUAUUACCAUGUCAUGUACUUAAUAUCCCAUAGUGUUAUGCAGCGUAUAUAUCUUAAUGGAGGAA